UACGGAGGGUGCAAGCGUUAUCCGGAUUUACUGGGUUUAAAGGGUGCGUAGGCGGAUAAGUAAGUCAGUGGUGAAAUCUCCGGGCUUAACCCGGAAACUGCCGUUGAUACUAUUUGUCUUGAAUAUUGUGGAGGUAAGCGGAAUAUGUCAUGUAGCGGUGAAAUGCUUAGAUAUGACAUAGAACACCAAUUGCGAAGGCAGCUUACUACACAAUCAUUGACGCUGAGGCACGAAAGCGUGGGGAUCAAACAGG
rnacentral:rRNA from 1 species